ACCCCACCCUAAUCUUGUUAUGCAAAUAGGCUUCCCACUUGGCAGGGGCCGUCUUGUCCACUCGUUUCUGUAAACAUGGGUGGCAAAAAGAGAAGAUGGAGCUGCCAUUUAGAACAUGCCUAAUCCCAGCUUCAUCUUGCUGAGCAAAAAUGAAGGAGCCUGGACCCAACUUUGUUACUGUGAGAAAGGGUCUUCAUUCAUUCAAGAUGGCAUUUGUUAAGCACCUACUACAAACCUUGGAAAUCAAGAAAGUUCUGGAAUGAUGAAGCUGUUCAUGCCAAGACCGAAAGUGCUGGCCCAGUAUGAGUCCAUUCAGUUCAUGCCGUGACAAUUUUCUUGGAACUCCUUUUUAUUGUUAGUUCUCACUUGUUUCCAUAUUUAGUGAAUGUACAUUUAAUUGCAAAGCUGUCAUUAAUAAAAAUUCUUAUAGUACCUCA
rnacentral:lncRNA from 1 species